rnacentral:lncRNA from 13 species
GGCUUUCAUAUCAGGGUAAUGCUGACGUCAUAAAAGAAGUUUGGAAGUAUUCAUCCUCUUUAGUUUUUUGCAAGAAAUUGAGAGGGACUGAGAAGCAUUAGUUUUUCUUCAAAUGUUUGACAGAAGUCAGCAAUGAAGUCAUCAGGUGAACCAGUGCCUGGAGCAUAGGCACAUUCAGUGAGGGCUUGAAUCCAUGGCCAUGAGUGGAAACUACCUUGCUACAAUGAUGGCUCCAGGGUUCAAAAUAUAGAAUCAAGAGGACUGAUGAGCCUGUGGGGAUGGAUGAGCAGACCAAGCUGAAACUGUCUCUGUGAAUGUCAUU